rnacentral:rRNA from 1 species
AUUGAACGCUGGCGGCAUGCUUUACACAUGCAAGUCGAACGGCAGCGCGGGCUUCGGCCUGGCGGCGAGUGGCGAACGGGUGAGUAAUGCAUCGGAACGUGCCCAGUAGUGGGGGAUAGCCCGGCGAAAGCCGGAUUAAUACCGCAUACGACCUGAGGGUGAAAGCGGGGGACCGAAAGGCCUCGCGCUAUUGGAGCGGCCGAUGUCGGAUUAGCUAGUUGGUGGGGCAAAGGCUUACCAAGGCGACGAUCCGUAGCUGGUCUGAGAGGACGACCAGCCACACUGGGACUGAGACACGGCCCAGACUCCUACGGGAGGCAGCAGUGGGGAAUUUUGGACAAUGGGGGCAACCCUGAUCCAGCCAUGCCGCGUGCGGGAAGAAGGCCUUCGGGUUGUAAACCGCUUUUGUUCGGGAAGAAAUCCUCUGGGCUAAUACCCCGGGGGGAUGACGGUACCGGAAGAAUAAGCACCGGCUAACUACGU